rnacentral:rRNA from 1 species
GUGCGUAACGCGUAUGCAACCUACCCUUUACUGGGGGAUAGCCCGGAGAAAUUCGGAUUAAUACCCCAUAGUACCUUGAGACAGCAUUGUUUUAAGGUUAAAGAUUUAUUGGUAAAGGAUGGGCAUGCGUGACAUUAGUUAGUUGGUGAGGUAACGGCUCACCAAGACUAUGAUGUCUAGGGGUUCUGAGAGGAUGAUCCCCCACACUGGUACUGAGAUACGGACCAGACUCC